UGGAUCAUGAAGUACCAGUAUCUAUUCAACAAGCUCCAGUGUCUGAUUAUGAAGUUCCUGUCUCCUCUAAUCCUAGCUACUCUGAUCAUGUACCUCUCUCUACUAAUAAUAAUCAACUAUUAGCUACACUAGUCACUACUAAUCCUUCCUAUCAAUCAGUGACUACUCCUUCAGUAAAAUUGGAGAGUGAAUAUUAUGAUACUUUUGAUGCAAAUAAGAUUUGUACAAAAAGCAACACCUCAUAUCUACCAGUUGAUCUAAAAACUACAACUACUACAGUGAGUCCUUCAGUUCAUAUUAAAA